GACGAACGCUGGCGGCGCGCUUAACACAUGCAAGUCGAACGGAAAGGCCUGCUUUCCCUUGUGGAUUGCGGGUACUCGAGUGGCGAACGGGUGAGUAACACGUGAGUGAUCUGCCCCCAACUUGGGUAUAAGCCUGGGAAACUGGGUCUAAUUCCCGAUAGGACUGCAGGGUGGUGCCUGUGGUGGAAAACGAUUUUCUAGUGGUUGGGGAUGAGCUCGCGGCCUAUCAGCUUGUUGGUGGGGUAAUGGCCUACCAAGGCGGCGACGGGUAGCCGGCCUGAGAGGGUGGACGGCCACAUUGGGACUGAGAUACGGCCCAGACUCCUACGGGAGGCAGCAGUGGGGAAUAUUGCACAAUGGCGGAAGCCUGAUGCAGCGACGCCGCGUGGGGGAUGACGGCCUUCGGGUUGUAAACUCCUUUCGACCGCGAGGAAGCCACCUGGUUGGAAGGGUGGUGACGGUAGUGGUAGAAGAAGCACCGGCUAACUACGUG
rnacentral:rRNA from 1 species